rnacentral:rRNA from 1 species
UACGUAGGGUGCGAGCGUUAAUCGGAAUUACUGGGCGUAAAGCGUGCGCAGGCGGUUUUGUAAGCCAGAUGUGAAAGCCCCGGGCUUAACCUGGGAAUGGCAUUUGGGACUGCAAGGCUUGAGUGCGGCAGAGGAGACUGGAAUUCCUGGUGUAGCAGUGAAAUGCGUAGAUAUCAGGAGGAAUACCGAUGGCGAAGGCAGGUCUCUGGGCCGAACACUGACGCUCAUGCACGAAAAGCCGU